UACGUAGGGUGCGAGCGUUAAUCGGAAUUACUGGGCGUAAAGGGUGCGCAGGCGGUUAUGUAAGUCAGAUGUGAAAUCCCCGGGCUUAACCUGGGAAUUGCGUUUGAAACUACAUGACUAGAGUGUGGCAGAGGGAAGUGGAAUUCCAUGUGUAGCAGUGAAAUGCGUAGAGAUAUGGAGGAACAUCGAUGGCGAAGGCAGCUUCCUGGGUCAACACUGACGCUCAUGCACGAAAGCGUGGGGAGCAAAC
rnacentral:rRNA from 1 species